UACGUAGGGUGCGAGCGUUAUCCGGAAUUACUGGGCGUAAAGCGCACGUAGGCGGCGAUUCAAGUCAGAGGUGAAAGCCCGGGGCUCAACCCCGGAACUGCCUUUGAAACUAGAUUGCUAGAAUCCUGGAGAGGUUAGUGGAAUUCCGAGUGUAGAGGUGAAAUUCGUAGAUAUUCGGAAGAACACCAGUGGCGAAGGCGACUAACUGGACAGGUAUUGACGCUGAGGUGCGAAAGCGUGGGGAGCAAACAGG
rnacentral:rRNA from 1 species